ACCUACUACCGCGCUGAUUUUCAGCCGCUUCCCUUUAUGAUGCCACUGACUAUAAAUAAAAACUAAAAACUAAAAACUAAAACUAUGGCAAGUGCACGGCCGGCAGCUGUGAACCAAGGUCACCCGGGGUACUUCACACGCAUAAGCGGUUCGUGUUUUCAGCGGCCCCGAGUGCCUCACGCGGCUGUAAAAGGCUUUCAGUGCCUACGCUGCCGCCGUGCUGCGCCCACACUGUGCCAUAAACUGUAAAUAAAUAUAUGAUUGUGAUUUAAAACGUAAUUAGAAAUAUCAUGUAGUGAAUCUGUAGGCGAGUGGUAUAUUUUUGUGUAAUGAAUAAUUCAAUUUUACGAUGGAUAUUGGGAAUGAAGUCAUAGACUAAAGAAGGUAUUCAUAUUGAAGGUAGCUGUGAACAUUAGCUGUGUUGCAAAAAAUGGGAUGAUUUUGGAGAUAAGAAAAUAUGUACAAUAAUGGAAGAUUAUAUUAUGCCGCGGGAGUCCAUUUGUGUGUUGCGAAGAAAACUAGUGUCGCGCAAUCCAGGAUCCAAUUUAUUCCAACAGUGUGUGGAGUUAAAAGAGAAGCUUCCCGCAAACGAUGCUGAUUUAUGCUGAGGGGUUAGAAGCAGGUAGGAGGAUGCCCUGGUUCGGUGAGAGUUGAGGUCACGUGACCACCGUAGUUUAUUAAACAGAUAUUCGGGCAGCCGUUUCUGUAUAAUUCCAAAUAGAAGGCAGGCAAAGUGAAGGUGCCGACGGCUUGCCAAUUUCAAUAACUUUGAUCUUAUGAGGUACGGAGUAACGUGACUACGAGCAGGGAUGGUGUAGCAGUAUCGGGCACAAGCGUUUUGCACUCGCUGUAAAAGACGCUGUGUUUUACCAUAGAUGCAAGGACCGUAUACUGUGUCAGCAUAAUUUAAUUUAGAUAAAACUAAACUUUCACAUAACUGCUCACGAAUCUCAGUUUUUAUGUAGGGUCUUAUACGAUAAAGAAUUUUUAAUCUAUAAAAGCAGUUUGACACUAAAUUUAAAACAUGUUUCUCGAAGCGCAGGUUAGAGUCAAAGUAAAUGCCGAGGUUUUUAGCUUCACUUACCAUUUGGAUUGACUCGCCAGCUACCUUUAUAUCGGGGUUAUUGGCUUUUAUUUUUGAAACUUGUUGUUUUGAUCCUAUUAUAAGAAACUGUGAUUUGGUGGGAUUCAGUAAGAGCGAAUUACUUUUAGACCAUGCUACUAUUUGGUUUAAAUCCUCAUUUAUUAAUGUUACUUUAUCUGCAGUGCCAUCUGGGACACAUGAUAGGUAUAUCUGUAGGUCGUCUGCAUAGAUAUGAUAUUUACAGUUUUUUAUGCAGUCUACUAUAUCACAGGCGUACAGAAUAAAUAGAAUAGGUCCAAGUAUAGACCCUUGUGGGACUCCUCUGGUCACUUGACUAGCUGAGGAAAUUUUCGUUUCGCCAUUAAUAUUGGUAAGUUUUACAAUUUGUGAUCGUUGGCUGAGAUAGCUAUAGAACCACCUUACUGUAUCGGCUUCAAAUCCAUAGUAGGUCAGUUUGGCCAGUAGGCGAGGGACGCUAAUAGUAUCGAAGGCACGCGAGAAGUCUAAUAGCGUUAAAAUAGUGCCCUGACCUUUAUCUUGCGAACAGAGUAUAUCAUCGACUACAUCGAGGAGAGCCGUUGUUGUACUGCGAAACUUCCUAAACCCGGACUGGACAGUAGGGAGAAUGUUAUUGCAUUCAAUAUAUUGGCUCAUCUGAUCGCAUACAACUUUUUCUAAUAUUUUAGACAGGCAAGCUAGUAUACUUAUCGGCCUUAAUUCAUUAACAGUAGAGGGACACGAUGUCUUAGGUAUAGGUUUUAUGAUGGCAGUUUUCCAUAGUUGCGGGAAUGUAUAGUUCAUUAGUGAGUAAUUUAUAAUAUACGUUAUGACGUCCAGCGUUCGCGGAAGAGUGAGGCAAAGCAUUUUAAGAGAUAUACGAUCGAUGCCUUGUGCGUUAGAUUUUAAUAUAUUAAUGAAUUUUUGUACUGUUUUGCUAUCUACAGGUUUAAUUUGGAAUUUGGAAUCACCAAAUCUGUUACUUUCAAAAUAUGCUAAGUCAGCAAAAUUUAGUUCCUCCUUCGAAGGCAAAUUUAAAAAGUGUGUAUUUAUGGCGUCCGGAUCAUUAAAUUGUGGUGGUAGGUCAGUCGACUUAUGACUUCGCAGUACUGUUUUUUUUAAAUUUUUCCACAGUGUCGCCGAGUUUUUACUAUUAUUAUUAAUGUAAAACUCAUAGUAGGCGCGUUUUUCCUUGUCUAAUGUAGAAAUAACCAAUUUUUUUAAGUCAAGGUAGUAAUUUUUAUUAACUUCAGACCUAGUUAAUUUAUAUUUUUUGAAGGCUUCGUUUCGCAAAUACAUCAUAUAUUUUAUAUUCUCGGUGAUCCACGGGUAUCCGGGAUCCCUGAUACAUAUAUUUUUUUCUGGCGCAUGAAGAUCAAAUAAUUGUAGAAUCAAGUUAUUGAAAGCGUCCACCAUACUAUUUAUGUCAUCACAUUGCAUUAUACUUUCCCAAUCUAAGUUAUUUAGGUCAUUGUUGAAGUAGUUCCAAAGUAUAUCGCUUAGCGGUCGAAUGGUCAUAAAUUUAGGAGUGAACUUUGGUUUCUUUAUGUUUAACGUUGCUGUGAUAAAUGCAUGUCUACCUAGUGCCGGUAUAUAAUCUACGUUAGUGUGGCCAAUUGUACUAUCUGUGCAAACGACAUCUAUCAGCGUCUCACAGUGGUCGUUGGCAAAGUGAGUAGGUUGCUGAACUGUUUGAGUUAACCCAACGCUAUGUAAGAAGUCCUUAAAUAAAGCCGUUUUGUUAUUGUUGGUCAAUAAGUCUAUAUUAAAGUCCCCCAUGAGUAACAGCUGGUCAUAUCCUGAGAAUGACGUGACCGAGUCCGUCAACGCAUCAAAGAACGUGUUAAUGUCCAACCAUUCUGGCCUGUAUGCUGUACCGAUAAGUAAUUUGAUGGAGUUGACAGUGCAGCUGAGCCACAUCUGCUCCACGGUAGGCGAUACGGGGUGCUUCCGGAUA